GAGGUUAUCAUCCACACAGGUGGUGCAUGGUUGUCGUCAGCUCGUGUCGUGAGAUGUUCAGUUAAGUCUGGCAACGAGCGCAACCCUCGUGAUCUGUUGCUACCAGUAAGAUGAGGACUCAGAUCAGACUGCCGGUGACAAACCGGAGGAAGGCGGGGAUGACGUCAAAUCAUCAUGCCCCUUAUGGCCUGGGCUACACACGUACUACAAUGGCGCCUACAGACGGAAGCGAAGCUGUAAAGUGGAGCAAACCCGAUAAAAGGCGUCCCAGUUCGGAUUGAAGUCUGCAACCCGACUUCAUGAAGUUGGAAUCGCUAGUAAUCGCGGAUCAGCAUGCCGCGGUGAAUACGUUCCCGGGCCUUGUACACACCGCCCGUCAAACCAUGGAAGCCGGCAACGCCCGAAGCCGAUGGCAUAACCCAAAAGGGAGUGAGUCGUCUAAGGCGGGGCCGAUGACUGGGGUUAAGUCGUAACAAGGUAUCCCUACGGGAACGUGGGGAUGGAUCACCUCCUUU
rnacentral:rRNA from 1 species